CAUUGAGGGAAUGAAAGACCCCCAGAGUGGGGAGACCCUCACUCAAGUCUCGGGAUGACGCAAACCCCCAAGAACUCACACAAGACC
rnacentral:pre_miRNA from 14 species